rnacentral:rRNA from 2 species
GUGUGAACUGCAGGACACAUGAACAUCGACAUUUUGAACGCACAUUGCGGUCCAUGCUAAUGUUUAACUUGUUAAACUGCAUGGACCACGUAUGGUUGAGUGUCGUAA